UACGUAGGGUGCAAGCGUUAAUCGGAAUUACUGGGCGUAAAGCGUGCGCAGGCGGCUUUGCAAGACAGAUGUGAAAUCCCCGGGCUUAACCUGGGAACUGCAUUUGUGACUGCAUGGCUGGAGUGCGGCAGAGGGGGAUGGAAUUCCGCGUGUAGCAGUGAAAUGCGUAGAUAUCUGGAGGAACACCGGUGGCGAAGGCGGCAUCCUGGACCGACACUGACGCUGAGGCGACGAAGCUAGGGUAGCAAACAGG
rnacentral:rRNA from 1 species